rnacentral:tRNA from 1 species
GGCCUAGUGGCCUAAUGGAUAAGGCACCUGACUUCGAAUCAGAAGAUUGCGAGUUCAAAUCUCGUCGAGGUCG